rnacentral:misc_RNA from 1 species
GGCAUCUGUAGAUUGAUUUUGUUGUGAGAAACUAAUCAAAAAAAAGGCAUUGAAUAAAUUUUCUAAAAACGGCAGCAAUUUAAUUGAUCAACAUAUACAAUAAUGGGUUCACGUUCGCGCAGUCCGUCGGUGAAACGCCGCCAUCACAAGAGCAAACACAAAAAACGCAGCAAGAGUAAGUCACACAAUCGCGACAGGGAACGGGACUACGAGCAUGAGCGCAGUAGCUGCACCCGCAGCAGUCGCACGGAUAGAGAAAAGUCGGCGGAAGGCCGGCGAGAGCGCGAUAGACAUCGCAGCGACAGGCACACUCACACGCACCUGCACACACACACAGAGCGCGACUAUCACCGGCACUCGCACUCCAAGUCCCGCAAACGCUCCAGCUCCUCAAGCAGUGAUAGCCAGCAGUACUCGGAUCACGAGACGCAACGCAGUCGACACAAGCGCAGUCGAUUCAAGAAACUGGAUGAGCAAAAUUUACUUCAGGUAGAGCGACUUGCCGAAAUGGAACGGCAGCGUCGCCAAAAGGAAGCUGAGCAGAAAACGAUCGAAGAGCAGGCGGCCAAGCGCAUUGAAAUGCUCGUCAAGAAACGUGUCGAAGAGGAGCUCGAAAAGCGACGCGACGAAAUCGAACAGGAGGUGAAUCGUCGCGUCGAGACAGCCAAAGCUGAAAUGGAACGUGAAAUGAUGCUGGAGCUGGAGAAGCGGCGCGAGCAGAUACGCGAAGAAGAACGCCGUCGCGAGGUAGGUGCUCGUAUUCACAUUUCGCUGGACGACUGCUGCUACCACAAAUACCCAAACUAUCAACUAUCAACACACGCACAGUAUACAGCCUUCGACUACAACUACCGAAAAACACACACAUGUACAAUACCAAUAGCAGUUGCAAACAGUCGUCUUGAACAAACUCAUUUACGAAACUGUGUAGCGACGUUUUCAGUUGCCACCUGUAAUGAGCAGAUGCUAAAGGCUCAGUUUGUCCCUGAGUGUGUGUGCGUGUGUGUAUACAAAUUUAGCUAAUAGUCAUUCAAGUAAACCUAUUGAUGUUCUUUUUACACUGCUAAUCCACUAACCUACCAUACUAAUGAACUGGUUUAAUCUUUCGGCUUAUGACCGCAGCAUACACACAUGUAAACACACACACACACACAAACAAACGCUGAGUCGCUGGCCACGUCGUUGCACAUUUCGCAUUACUAUUGCCAAAUCAAUUUUGUAAUUAUUAUUAUUUAUUUUUUUCUACAAACCAAAAACGUAACGAAAGACAAAUACCCAAAAGCCAAAAAUAUCGUCUUGCAGUUUUGACGCCCACAAAAGUGCAUAAUUCAAUUUUUGCGUUACUUUUAGCCUCAUCUAUUCUUGUUUGAUUUCAUUUUGAUUGGUUUCUGUAACUGGUUGUUGUUGUUGUUACAUAAUGCGCGCAAUUUAAUGCUUCGAUCAAAUGUGUGUGUGGGUGUGUGCCUGCGUGUGUGAGAGUGUGUCUGUGUGUGUUUAGGAGAGAUGGGAUUACAACAGUAAACAAAACACGUACAUAUAUACACAUACGUAUACAGAAUUGUAUAUGUGUAUGUGAAGCUCUGCUACCAUUCAGCCCCCACCUAAGCCGGAGCUAAUGCUUACGAUGAGAAUUCGGCCACACGGAUGAGAGCACCAAUCAGCUCUCUAGGAGAUCCUUGACGAUGUACUACACACGCAUACACACAUACGUAUCCCGUGUAGCGUAACCCGAACCACGUAUCGCGUAUAUCGUUUAUCGCAGUGUAGUCGAUCAAGCUCAGUAUCUCUUAGCCAGUACAGUGUUUGGGUGUGAGGGCGGGCUUAGCAUAGCUUACCUUAGUUCCAACAGUACGAUGCAUGCCAAAUCCCUAAUAGAUCCCCCAUACACGGGCGCCUAUUCAUACCAAUAAACGGGUGAGUGAGAGUUCGUUAAACAAAACGAAACGUGUGAAUAACUUAAAUGGAUAUAAACAAACUUGAAGUGUGUUAAGUGAAUGGAACAAUCAUCAUUCGAGUGCAUUGCAAAUGCAAAUGCAAAUAAUAAACAAACAAAACAAAAAAAAAAAAAAAUAGUCUUUAAGGACUCAAAGCUCUCCCUCUAGGAACAUUCGACAUAGGACAACCAAAUCAAAGCCGAUCAGACAUAAGAUUGUUUUAUCGUAACUCAUAAGCCCGGAUAACCAUUUGUCAAUCAAUGGGUAUGACUGAACUUGUUGUUGUUGUCGUGCCACAAAUAUUAAUUUUAUGUAUGUUUGGUUUCUUCAAACAUUUAUCGUUUGGUCGAAACGCUAUUAUAAUUUGAUUCCUAAACUCAAAAAAAAAAAAAAAAAAAAAAAAUGUAAUGUUAUUCUGAUUAAACAACUAUGUAGCUGAAUACCGUAAAUCAAAAUACAAAUUCGCAGCACAGCCAAAAAUUAACAAAAUGAUUUAGCCAUUAAACUGGAAAAAUGAACUAUUUCAAUAGAGGAGGAAAAGCAAAAACGCGAAGAGCUCGAAGAAAUUUUGGCCGAAAAUAAUCGCAAAAUCGAGGAGGCUCAAAGAA